rnacentral:rRNA from 1 species
UACAGAGGUCUCAAGCGUUGUUCGGAUUCAUUGGGCGUAAAGGGUGCGUAGGCGGCGCGGUAAGUCGGGUGUGAAAUCUCGGGGCUUAACUCCGAAACUGCAUUCGAUACUGCCGUGCUUGAGGACUGGAGAGGAGACUGGAAUUUACGGUGUAGCGGUGAAAUGCGCAGAUAUCGUAAGGAAGACCAGUGGCGAAGGCGGGUCUCUGGACAGUUCCUGACGCUGAGGCACGAAGGCCAGGGGAGCAAACGGG